AUAUGAGACGGCUCAAACAAUAAUCUUUGCCCUUGAUAUUAAACUAGAUUAGUUUAACAUGUGAAAUUUCCGUAAAGUAUCAUCAUAUGAUUGGUUUUAGGGCACAUUUCCAACACCACUUUCGACCGAGUCGGGCCAGAUUCAUUUUUGUAACUGGUGGUAUCGAGCUCAUGGUUCUUUCAAGCCUUCCUUGUCUCAUGCUACUGUAUUGGUAGUGGGACUUAACAUCCCACAUGGCAACCUCGCCUCCUCACCUUUUACUUCUUUAAAAGCUUCAAAAUUUCUAAACACUUCAGGUAGACCCUUAAGCUCUGAAUCUUUUCCAAACCUCUGGAAGACAUUCUUAGUAGUUUCCUUGUUUGCUUCAACAUCCCGAAGAAUACUUCUACAAGCAUCUUGUUCUUCUAUCUCUCUCAUUCUGACCAACUCUCGAUCAAUGAUGGCUCCUGAUGUUGGUACCUCAAGCUCACACUCACACUGACAUUUGCUACACAAAACUACUCUUUUGACCAUAGCAUUUUGGGGCUUAUCGAGUGACCUCAUGACACCUUAUGUUGCCCUACCUGCUUGCCUUAUUUAUCCUCUUUCAUCCAAGGUUACUUUUCUUUUCCCCCUCUCCACCCAAUUAAGGUUUAUCAUGUUGAUUGGGGCUUAAGGGAAUG
rnacentral:lncRNA from 1 species